rnacentral:rRNA from 1 species
UAGGGAAUCUUCGGCAAUGGACGAAAGUCUGACCGAGCAACGCCGCGUGAGUGAAGAAGGUUUUCGGAUCGUAAAACUCUGUUGUUAGAGAAGAACAAGGACGUUAGUAACUGAACGUCCCCUGACGGUAUCUAACCAGAAAGCCACGGCUAACUACGUGCCAGCAGCCGCGGUAAUACGUAGGUGGCAAGCGUUGUCCGGACUUAUUGGGCGUAAAGCGAGCGCAGGCGGUUUCUUAAGUCUGAUGUGAAAGCCCCCGGCUCAACCGGGGAGGGUCAUUGGAAACUGGGAGACUUGAGUGCAGAAGAGGAGGGUGGAAUUCCAUGUGUAGCGGUGAAAUGAGUAGAAAUAUGGAGGAACACCAGUGGCGAAGGCGGCUCUCUGGUAUGUAACUGACGAUGAGGCUCGAAAGCGUGGGGAGCAAACAGG